GUGCUCCCUUUGGCAGCACAUACUCUAAAAUUGGAACAAUACAGAGAAGAUCAGCAUGGCCCCAAUGCAGCGAGUGCUCAGAAGUUCAUGAAGCAUUUCAUAUGUUU